AUCUUUGCGCUUGAGGCAAUGACGCAGCUAGUGAGAUUCUAACCGAGGCGCGUCUAUUGCUGGUUGAAAACUAUCUCCAAACCCCCUCGUAGGCCUAGCGUACUUCUACUGAAUCUUUAAUUCUUUAUCAAAA
rfam:Citrus sinensis cultivar Ridge Pineapple sweet orange scaffold02960_contig_1, whole genome shotgun sequence.